rnacentral:rRNA from 1 species
CAGUAGCCGCGGGAAUACGUAGGUCCCGAGCGUUGUCCGGAUUUAUUGGGCGUAAAGCGAGCGCAGGCGGUUAGAUAAGUCUGAAGUUAAAGGCUGUGGCCUAACCAUAGUACGCUUUGGAAACUGUUUAACUUGAGUGCAAGAGGGGAGAGUGGAAUUCCAUGUGUAGCGGUGAAAUGCGUAGAUAUAUGGAGGAACACCGGUGGCGAAAGCGGCUCUCUGGCUUGUAACUGACGCUGAGGCUCGAAAGCGUGGGGAGCAAACAGGAUUAGAUACCCCUGUAGUCCCUGUCUCUUAUACA